rnacentral:lncRNA from 1 species
CUUACUUGGAAAGUCUCCUGCAUUUUGUAGGCAAUAAAAACGUAAAAAGAACGCUUUUUUGCAGAGAAUUUCACAAGCCUAGCCCCAGUUUGUAGCCUACCAGAAGGCAGUUGUAACCUAAUUCCGCUGUGGCUCAUCAGUACCUCCAGGCCCAGGUCACCUCUGUCCUCCCUUCCGUCCAUCCCUGGAGCCUCCAACGCCACUGUGAGAGAAAAGAACCGUGCCAAUCUGAGAAAAUCCAAGGGAGAUCUUUUUUGCAAGGCGGAUACAAAUGAAAACAUUGCAAGGCUUUGUUUCCACUUCUCAAUCAGAAAAUGGAUUUAUGAAGGCAGCUGUCUGGUUCAAGGGCAUGCAAGAAGACAUUCAACUCCCUGGAGAAAAGAAAACACAACAAAACGAUGAAGUUUUA